GACCUAAGGAGUUUUUCAACCCAAAUAUAAAUGCCAAUAUUUGAGGUAGUCACCUUAAGUGUUUUGUAGCUGGAAGCAUUUGUAGAAUCUGUUUCCUAAGGUAAAAAGACUUCAGAGGGCCUGUUUCUCUACUUCUGACCAAAUAGAAGUAUACAAAGCAGUGGGUUGCAAAUUUGAUGGAAAAAAUUCCUUCCUAUGUAUUUGCUGGGAAGAUUUCUGCAUUGCAUACAUUUUUUUUGCCAUGAUGUGAGCAGAAGGGUUAACUGAAGUGUGCUGAAGAUAUUCUGAAAAAGGCAUCUCUUGCAAUCUUGUUUUUUCUGGAAUCCUUUAUGUCCUUGGAAUUAUGACAAGCUGCUGGCUGUUGAACAUGAACUGUCUGUAUGGUUAAGUCACAAACCAUAACUGCUAUGCUGGAUGAGAGCAAGUUGGAAAAAUAGUUUUUUUGACAGCGUUUCUUUUGAGUAUGACUUGCCCUGAAGAUUAAAAGAAACCCAAACCCACAAGACCAGAAACUUCUUAUCCAUAGCAUUUUCUGAAACAGGGAUAUUGACACAAUAACAUCUAUUAUUAUGAUGUAGGGUUACACACAUGCUGUCAGUAUUGUGGUGUCAUAAUGAGCUUCUAGGUAACCUGUCACAGUUAAUUUUCCUGGUUUUGCUAAUUAAGUAGUCUUCUGUUUAUCUGUAUCCAGAAGGUGGCCCAUUCCUCUCACCCACAGCUUGAUUCUGAAGCCUAGUUCAAAGAAGUUUUUCCUCUUCUCCUCCUUAUCCUGUGAUUCCCUGUUUUGGUUUUUUUUUUUUUUUUUUUGUUUUGAAUCUCUGAUUUGACUUUAAUCUCAGCAGGAAUGUUUUCCACUACCUUUUAUUUCAUAGACCUGCAUUUUUGGGUUAGAAAGAAUAGCUCAAAACUAGAGGAAGCAGUACAAUAAAUGUUGGUUGUACUGUAAAAGGUACCACCCUGAAUUAAUCACCAUUCAGCUGAAGUGUGGUAGCAAGCUGCCAGCCCCUUGAACUGCAAGGUAAACAAGUUACUUCCCCUCCCUAAGUCUUCAGCAGUGGUGUCACAGAAGAGAAAGAAAAGCCACUUCAAUACCAAGGGACCAGCAGCUCAUCCGAUUGCAUCCCAUCUUUUCUUGGAGCAAACAGGAGAAAUCCAUUUGCAGAUACGUUCUUGUGGUUGAUAGCAGUAGUGUUUCAGUGUUGCUGAAGCCAGCAUGAUCAAACAUUGUACAUGUGGAUUUAUUACAACUGUGGGAUUUCUUGAACUUUUCUUCUGACUGACCAGGUUUGCAAUCUCUGUUCAAAUCUCCUUGACUGGAGACCCUUUACCUGGGCAGGUCUUGUUUUGAGGUGGUUUGCUUGUUUUGUUUCAUGUGCUGCCUUGGCAAUGUUUGGCACACCAGACCUUCCUCCAGUAGCAUACUGGUAGUUAUGAAACCCUUUUGAUCUGUUGAGGCUUUAAUGUAGCCUCAGAGACUUUGUGUGGAAUUAAAGCAGCUGCUGCUAACUAUGUAGGAGUGCCUCAGUUUAUGUUCUUAUGUGCUGUGGAUAACUUCCUUGGAUGUGUCCAGUCGGUGUUAAAAGAAGUGGUGAGGAGCUGUAUAAAAUAAGUGGUCACUUGACGCACUUACACUGUGAACAACUUUAAAACAGAACAAAACAAAAAGAAAACCUUUCAAGUACGAAGAGAUGAUUGACGUGCUUGCUUUUAGUGUGCCUGCUUCUGCAAAAACUGAAGAUUUAUACUUUGUAUUGUGUUUUCUGGGACAGCAUGCAAUUUUACAUGUAAUUUGUUACUAUUUAAAUGCAAAUUGCUGAUCUUUCGUAAAUUUUCUUCCUUCAGAGAAUGUUAAGUCAAUAAAGAUUUUCUGAUAAAGCCAUCUUCUUAAUGCAGAAUAACUGGUAGAGCUACUUGCAAUUAACUCCCUUUCCUCAAGGAAAAGAAAACAUGGCAGCCACUACCUUGAGAUGGAUAGAUACAAGUAUAUAUUUUUAUUGAUACUGGAACAAGUGUAACAAUGAAGCAUAUUUCCUAUGGUACCUAGAUUUUUGAAAGUUAGACAGAGAUAGGUAAACUAGGCCGAGCAUUGAGAGAAGUUCUCAGGCUAAAAAGUAGGUGCUGAGGUUCUUGGAUUUUAGUAUAGUCAAACCUAGAUACUUGUUUUUCUAAGGACAAUGAAGAUGAGGAAAAUCAGAAUCAUUUAGGUUGGAAAAGACCUCUAAGAUCAUUGAGUCCAGCCUUUGACAGAUAACCACUCUGUAAACUAGACUAUGGUACUAAGCUCCGUGUCCAGUUGUGAACACCUCUAGGGAUCGUGACCCCAUCACCUUCCUGGGCAAUUUGUCCCAAUGUUUAACAGCCCUUUUCAUGAAGAAAUUCCUCCCGAUGUCCAACCUCAACCUUCGCUGGUGCAGCUUGAGGCUGUGUCCUCCCUUCCCGUCGCUGGUUGCCUGGGAAAAGAUGCUGACCUCCAUUUGGCUAUAGCCCUCCUUUCUUUCAGGCAGUUGUAGAGAGCAAUAAAGUCCCUCCAAACCUCCUUUUCUGCAGGCUAAACACCCCCGGCUCCCUCAACCACCUGUUGUAGGACUCAUUCUCUAUGCCCUUCACCAGUGCUGUUGCCCUUCUCUGGACUUGCUCCAGCACCUUACUGUCUUUCUCGUAGUAAGGAGCCCAGAACUGGACACAGAGACUGAAAGUGUGGCUGAGUACAGGGUGAUAUCACUGCCCUGGCACUGCUGGCCUGUUUUUGAUACAAGCCAGGAUGUCAUCCUUGGCCACCUGGGCACAUGCUGGCUCACAUUCAGCUCCUGUUGACCAGUGUCCCCAGGUUCUUUUUCGCUGGGGAGCUUUCCAGCCACUCUUCCCCAGCCUGGAGUGUUGUAUGGGAUUUAUUGUGACCCAUGCCCAGGAGCUGGCGCUUGGACUUGUUGAACCUCAUAUAAUUGUCCCUUUGAUCCAGAUCCCUCUGCAGAGCCUUCCUGCCCUGCAGCAGAUCAGCUCUCCCACCCAACUUAGUAUUGCCCAUGAACUUACUGAGAGUACAUUUGAUACCCUCAUCCAGAUCAUCAGUAGAGGUACUGAAGAGGACUGGGCCCUCUAUUGAGCUCUGUAUGUUUCUUUCAUUUUGGGAAAUUGGAGUGAGACCAUGAUGCACUGGAGUCGUCAGGAUGGCUUAUGUUGUUAGUCUUAUCUUAAUUUUUGUUUUCUUUCUAGCUGUUAUGAAUUGACAAUUUCUAUGUUGGUAUUUCUGUAAUGCUGGCUGCAGCAUCAUUUUUAUUAGAAAUUUUGUCCAACCAUUGUGUGCUAACACUUGGGGGUGGCAACUUAAUGAAGUCUGAUAGAGCAUCACAGUGAGGUUUGUUUUUUUUCAGGAAAAUUGUUUUGAACAUCACAGUGAAAGGUGCAGUUAUGUAUGUGACUUUCUUAUAGAUGCACAGGUUAAAUGAGAUUCAUACAUGGUAAAGUAAAGAAACACAGACAUUCAGGCAUGUUGUUCUGUUGGUAAUGAUGAGGGGUUUUUGGUUUUUUUUCCCCCUAUUCUAAAGGCUUGCAAAGUAACCCAUUACUACUAAAUAUGCAGUGCAAAACAACUAUUUUAAGUACCCAUAUAUUGCACACUAUUUCUUAGACUCCAGCUUUUUUUUUUUUUUUGCAUAAACUACAUUACUGUAGUAAUGUAUUAUCAGACUGUAACCCUGAUAUUUGGUUAGGGGAGAACCCAGCAGUCUGUUCCAAUACAAGAUCUGAUGCUAGGUUAUUAAUCAUGAAUAAUUACUGUGCCUUAGACUGGUAGACUGUGAUUUCUGUGGGGUUUAAGUAGGGUAUAGAGCAGUGAACUGAAGUGUAUAAACAUUUGUCCCAUAUCUGAGAUUCUGAAAUGUCCUUUUUUUGUUUGUUUUUGGUAAGCCUUGCUGUUUUAGAGAUGUGCAAAGAGUUAAUUCUGUAUCAAAUUGAGAGCAAGUCACCAGAAAUACAAAUGCCCUUGUCUGAAGCGAGCAGUGAGUUCUGGGGCAGAUGGCACCAUGUGACAGGAGAAUGGAUCUUUAUCUGAGUAGAAAGGUGUGUGGUUCAGCUAAUUAGGAUCAUAGGUUUGAUCAGAUGGGACAGGCACUUCUCAACCUAGUUAACUAUGUAUCUAGUUCCAAAGAUCGCUGUUGGGAAGGAGGGGAGGGGUACCAAGCACACCCUAAAUUUCAGCAAUUGAGCAAAUUGCCUAGAAAGUAGAGGUCCAUAUUGCUAAUAGUUGAGGCAAGGAAGGAUAGCAAAGUAGUCUUAUACGAAUUUGUUCAACAUGACACUUGAAAUUGGUCAAAUUAUCAACCUUAAAGACCUGAAGAGCAAUUUCAUUAGCAUGUGAGUUUGCUCACUGACAUGCAGUAAAUUUUAAUGGUACAUGUGGACACAGUGGCUCCUUCCCUACAGGAGGUUUAUCAUUUUAUGACUUCUGUCAAGGGCUGUGAAGGACCAUGUUUACUUCUUGGCCCAUUCAGAUUCUCAGUUUGAGAAUCUGAGCUAUCACAAAGAAAAGAGGGGGAUAGCACUAUUGCUAAGUAAGAGAGCAGAGCCACAUUCAGAUGGUAUAAAUUCCUCUGUGUUUCAUGCUACUUGCAUUCCUUUGUUGAGUUUCAUCUUUCUUGAUGUCUCGUGUUUCCUAGCUAUAAGCUUACAUACUCUUAAAUGUAAUUCAGGUUAUAUCUUCCUGUGGUUGCCACUUCCCAAAGCAUACAGAUUUGAAUAUAAAUUCCUGAAGAGAAUGCACUUGUGUGGAAACAGUGGUUCCUUCAACCCAGGUGGCAUUUUCCCUUCUCUGCUCCCUCCCCUGGUCUGAGACACACAAAUGUGUUGCUGCAGUGCCAGCUCCGAGUCCACCAGCUCAUUCUUUCAAGCACCGAGCCUUCCAAGGUUAAUUCAGGGCAUCAUUAGCCUGUGCUAGGACAGACUGUCCAAGGCAUUUUGCGGAACGUCUCCUGUCCACGUGGUAGAAGGAUGCUGUCAAAACCUGACUCCCAAAGCCAGUGUUCUUGGAAGCAGCUGGCCAGCAGUGCUGCUAUAAGCAAAGCUGUAGUGGGUUUGAUGCCAAGUAGAACAGAUGAGCUACCUUGUAUUUCACAGGUCUGAGCAUGGGGAGGCCAGUGUGUUGGAAAGGAUCAAAUAUCCUGUACUUUCUUUCUUGUUACAGCUUCCCCCAAAAUAAUAGAUGAGAUUUUUUUUUUUUUUUAAUACAAGCUUAAAGGAAAUAAUUUUGAAGAUGUUUUCUCAGAUUGGACAGGUGUGUUAGCAAGUGUGUGAUGCCGAAAUUUUCCAUUGCACCAGAGUACAAAUAUUCCUUCCUAUUAUGUUUCUUUUUGUCCUUCUGAUGUAGUCUGACAGUGCACUUAAGAAAUUUGGACAAAAUAUGGAAAGUGACCCUGGUAAGGAUUCUUGAAUAGGCUAAAGGUUUUAUGAACAACAACACAUUGUUGUGGGUUGCAUUACUCCCUUAGAUUGUGUGAGCACCAUCCAGUAUAGUAGUUAACACGUAUGAACUUGUGCUUUUGGCUCAAUUUAAGUACUAUAGUCUGUUACAUGUCAGUUCUUUGAUACAAGAUGUAACUGAAAAGCCUCUUUAAAAAAAAGAGGAAUAUAUCAUACUGCUUUAGGUUAUAAUUUCUCAUGGUAAGAAAACUCAAUUUUUAAAUUUAAUUCCUAUUGAUAAGUGCAGUUCACUCUCACAAAUAUCAGAUUUUUCAGGGACUUCAGUGUUUGAGUCAGUAUUGACUAAAACCUAAGAGCUUAGAACAUGCAGCAAAGGAUGUAGCUUUGAACAUGUAUCUUUGUCAGUGGCAGUCCCUUGCCAGUGAGAGUGACUUGCUUUGGAGGUAAGGCUAAUUUACAAUUAAGUUCAAGCUAGAGAUACAUUGUCAGCUUCUGUGGGCACCAGCAGAAGAAACAAAAUUUCCACAUAAGCAUGCAACUUUCCUACUGUGAAUAAUUUCCUAAUAUAAACUUCAUUUAUUCAGUGGUGUUUUGUUAGAAACGAAAAGAAGCCUAGUUUGUUUUAAAAAAAAAGAAGUUAAAGAAUACUUUAUCAGUGAGUUAAUACUUCAUUUUUCUAAGUACUUUACAGGUGAAGACGCCUUUAAUGAAUGAUUGCUUUCACUGAGAAUUUUGUGCAAUUGUUUCUUUUCUAUAUUUCAAGACUUUAUUUUAGCUAUAAACUAUGUAAACUGUCUCUAACAGCCACAGUGGUUUUAGUCUCAUUAAAAAUAGAACAAAGCUUUUAGCAUUUCUAAGCCUGUCAGUUGGAUUUCCUCAUUGCUAGCUGAUUAAAAGACAGCCACCAUGAUGCAUUGAAUUUUCUUCUACCAUAAUAAAUGUCAUUCUGGUCCAAGAAGUGCACACUGUGGAGUAUACUGUCCAUUUUAUCUGUGCAGAAUAUGGGGAGACAGCUCAAUUUUUGCAGAAGUGGUUGGUUCCUACUGAGAGAGGACUGCAUCUAGUGAGAGAGUUCUUGCCAAACGUUUGGUUCAGGAGUGUUCAGAAAGCCCUUUUAAUACCAGUUUUGCAAAGAUCAGCCUAGAGAAGCUGAAUCUCUGGUGUUAGCCUGUACACAUGCUGCAGAAGUGCAUUGCUGGAGCUGUCAGCUAACACUCACUAUGCUCACUCCUGCCUUACUGGAGAAAAGCCUUUUAGGAGUAAACAACUGUUACCAGAUACUGUUGGAGGUUGCUAGCUGUGGUCCAGCUCUUGCUAGACUACAUUCAUUAAUUAAUUAAUUUCCUGGAUGCCAAAGAGACACUGGGAGUUAGGGCAGGGGGUGGCAGAAAGAAGCCGGGUGAUGUUGCUUUUUGGUUUGCCCUGAUAGCAAUUGCAGUGCAGGUAGUGAUAAGUCACAGAACUAGACUCCUAAAAAUAAAUCUGAAGCACCUUCAGAAAAAUAAGUUUCUGGCUCAGCUAUAGUGGUGGCUUCUAUAACUGUGUUGGGUAAUAGCUUUUAGGAAGAAACAUUUCAGUGGCUCGGGGCAUGCACACUGUGGGGUUUCAGUGUUGACAACAGGGUCCAAACCCCCAGUUUUUUUUAGACUUGAAGGUUUUCUGAUCAGUGAGUUGCUAAAGCCCAGAGGGGGUCAGGAGAUAAGUUCCUCCAAGGUCAGACUGACAAGCCUUUCUGCCUUCCCCUGUAUCAUGGGACGUAAUAUAAUUCCUGUGAUUCAUUUAACAAAUUCUCUGCCACUGCAGAGACGUGGACCACGGACGCAGGACAAUGUAGAUCAGACUUCAGCUCAUGGUCGGCGGGAUCUGGUGGAACCGGGUUUCCAAGAACCGUCUAACCGCAUCUCCCUAAACCACCAAGAUGACGACGUGGACCUGGAAGCUUUGGUAAACGACAUGAAUUCCUCAUUUGAAAGUUUAUACUCUACAUGCAGCAUGCAGUCGGAAACCGCUCCACUCCUCCAGAAUGGCCAGCUGAGCCGCAGCCAGCUGCCAUCCUCGGGGUCCAGCACCCUGCAGCCCAUGUCCCCGAGGCAGAAGGUGCAGCGCUCCCAGCCAGUGCGCAUCAUGGCAGUCAGGCGUCUUCAAGAAGAGGAGCAGCAAUUCCGAACAUCAUCUUUGCCGGCCAUCCCAAACCCUUUCCCAGAACUUUGUAGCCCUGCAAGCUCUCCAGUGCUGGCCCCUGGAUCUUUACCUCAGAGUCAACCUGCUAGUAAGCAUGAUGUAAAAGUCUUUAGUGAAGAUGGAACAAGCAAAGUGGUCGAGAUUCUAGCAGACAUGACAGCCAGGGACCUCUGUCAGCUGCUCGUUUACAAAAGUCAUUGUGUGGAUGAUAACAGCUGGACUCUAGUGGAGCAUCACCCUCACCUAGGAUUAGAGAGGUGCUUGGAAGAUCAUGAGCUCAUAGUUCAAGUUGAAUCCACCAUGGGAAGUGAAAGCAAAUUUUUGUUCAGGAAGAAUUACGCAAAAUACGAAUUUUUCAAAAAUCCCAUGAAUUUCUUUCCCGAACAAAUGGUUGCCUGGUGCCAGCAAACAAAUGGCAGUAUCCCACAGUCACAACUUUUGCAGAACUUUUUAAACUCCAGUAGCUGCCCUGAAAUUCAAGGUUUCUUGCAUGUGAAAGAGCUGGGUAGGAAAUCAUGGAAGAAACUGUUUAUGUGUUUGAGGAGAUCAGGACUUUAUUGUUCUACAAAAGGAACUUCAAAGGAACCAAGACAUUUGCAAUUGUUGGCUGACCUAGAAGACAGCAAUAUCUUCUCCUUGAUAGCAGGCAAGAAGUUGUACAAUGCCCCUGCAGAGUAUGGAUUUUGUAUAAAGCCAAACAGAGUGAGAAAUGAAACUAAGGAGCUGCGGUUGUUGUGUGCUGAAGACGAGCAAAGCAGGACGUGCUGGAUGACUGCCUUUCGACUCCUCAAGUAUGGAAUGCUACUGUAUCAGAAUUACAGAAUUCCCCAGCAGCGAAAAGCCAUGCUUCCACACUUUUCCACUCCAGUAAGAAGUGUAUCUGAAAACUCACUAGUAGCAAUGGAUUUUUCGGGGCAAAUAGGAAGAGUUAUUGAAAAUCCUGCUGAAGCACAGAGUGCUGCCUUGGAAGAAGGACAUGCUUGGAGGUGUCCAGAGGAAAGUUGAGGGGGAAAGCAGACCCACCAGAACUUUACUGCCAGUUUGCAAAACCAGUCUCUGAGGAGGAAUAUGUCAAAUUAAAUGCUUCCCCACAUGGAAGAGGCUGGGGCUCUGACUAAUGGCUUGCUCCCAAAACGUAGCACAAGAAUGAACAUCUUGGGUAGCCAAAGUCCACUCCAUCCUUCCACACUGAGUACAGUUAUUCAUAGGACACAGCACUGGUUUCAUGGCAGAAUCUCUAGAGAAGAGUCUCACAGGAUUAUUAAGCAACAAGGGCUUGUAGAUGGAUUAUUUCUGCUACGGGACAGCCAAAGCAAUCCAAAGGCAUUUGUACUCACGUUAUGCCAUCAUCAAAAAAUAAAGCAUUUUCAAAUCUUGCCGUGUGAAGAUGAUGGACAGAUAUUUUUCAGUCUGGAUGAUGGGAACACCAAAUUCAGUGAUCUAAUCCAGCUUGUUGAAUUCUAUCAACUAAACAAAGGAGUCUUGCCCUGCAAACUCAAACACCACUGCAUCCGAGUGGCCUUAUGACCUCAAAUCUGACUCUUGCUGAAGACUGUAUUUGAUAGAAGAGUAAUUGUAAGAGAACGUUGACACUGGGGAAUUGGCAGAUUUGUAAGUUGGUUAAAAAAAUAAAUAUUAUGCACCUUGGGACUCGAAAGGGAUGGAUUCGACAGGUGCCAACAGACCAAGAUUGCUGGUUUGUCUAACACCUAAGAGUGAUUGCUGCUGAGUGUCCCAGCAUCCCAAAAAUGGGGGGAGGGUCUGUAAAACAAUGAGUAAAUUUGAAACAAAACUGGAAACUAUCUUGGCUGGGCCACUUAACAGGAACAAGUGUGAAGAGAAAUCUUUGAAAAGAACUCUUGCCCUGGAAUAAUCUUGACAAUUAAGACUAGUGUGUUUACUUUUUGUAUUGAUCACUUUUUUUGCACUCCUACUUUGUUUCGGAUAUUGUAUGCAGCCUAUAUUAGGAGCUGAUGUGGCUUUUAAAAUUCAUGCAGGAGUUGGGUAUUAAUCUGCACCCUAAAAUGUAUGGAAUGCUUCAGCCUAAAAGGAUCUAGAAGAAAAUCAAGAAGUGUGUGUGUGCGCGCGCGUGUGUCUCAGUACUUCUCUGGAGACCUGAGGUUCAAUGAUCUGCCGAUGUCUUUGAAGAAGCAAUGAGGAUACAAUUCUAAAAGAAAAUACCACCAAUAUACGUACUCUUGAAACUGUUGACUUGUAGCAUUAUGGCUGUAGUAUGUUGAUGGCAUAUUAGUGGCAUCCAGUCAUGCAGAGACUGUAUUAGAUUCUAUGCACAAAUUUUUAUUAUUGGAGUGGUGGUUUGUUUUUUACAGCCUUUUGACUGUUUUCCUGAGGAAACUUGCUGUUACUAAAUAGAGUAGGACUGAAUGACUACACUUGUAUUUGAAACCACCAUUUUUUGUGAGAAGAUUCUUCUGCAGGUAGUCUUAGUAUGACAAAAUAAAAAAAAAUUAAAACCAGUGUUUUUUAGCUUUAUAGCUCCUUGAAUUUUCAGACUGUUUCAAAGAGCUCUUUCGAUAGAGUAAAGCUACAGUGACACAAUGCUCUCCUGGGGAUAGGGCAUAAGAAGAACUGAACCCCUUCUGCUUCUUGUAGGGCCAUGAAAGUUUACAUGGUGAGAAGGGACAUGCUGGGAAUAGAAACAGAUUUGAUUGUGAAGUAACUGCUGGCAAUAUCAUCCACUGAGGUAACUGGUGAUCCCUGCGUCAUGUGUGCUACUGCACACCAGUACCUGUGGCAGACAAGCAUGUCAUCUUGCUCUGGUGCUGGUUUGUCAUCAGAACUACUUUAUUGUUAAUGUUUAAAUGAAUUCUCUAAUGUUUACUCAAUAACUCUUUCUGAUGAUAAAUCAGUAUUAAAGUCAGACAAGUCCCACCUUGAUCCUGCAGUUGCAACCAACCAUUCCUUCAGCAACUGUCUGAACUGAAAUAACUUCCCGGUGCUUGGUGCCAUUAGCCACAGGGAGAAGUAUUCCACCCUGGGAACUUGCAGAGUGUAGUGCAGAACGGAGCAUUUGUAAAACGGUAAAUUAUCUACACAGGCUAGUUAAUCCUUAAUAUUUGCCACUGGGUUUGAAAUCCUAGCCAUCUGAAAGGGUAAAGAAGGAAAACCAAUCCUACACUUUUAGGUCUUCAUGUAGUGUUAAGAAUAGCUUAAGACAAACCAUAACCUGCCUGAGUCAUCCAUAUCAGCUUAAACUAUGUCAAUGGUAUAGAAACACUGUAUUUUAGUUUACAGAACACAUUUAGUAUUUUUUUCCAUUUAAUGUCUAGAUACUAAAAAUGAAGAAACUUGAUUUUGUUUUUAGUAGAAGCCGUUUUUGUUUUGUUUUGUUUUGUUUCGCUUUUUUUAAUUGUACAUAGUGAAAUGAGUGUUCCUGCUUUCUAGACAAUGUAUUUUAAAACCUUGAAAUUAAGCUAAUUUAAGUCUGACUUCACUUUGCAUGCUUCUAUUUGGCCCCUAUUAGGAGAAAAAGAUACUUGUAUUGACUACAUUACCAGUUUAAUAAGACCAUUUAUGCUGUAGUUUUAAGUUUUUCUGUUUACAUAGCUUAGUGACAACCAUGCAUUUUUCCCAGUAGGCAGAUAGUAUUUGCAGUGUUUCAUAUUUAUAAAAAAAAAACUUUGCAUCUUAUUUAAAUUGAAAAUAAAAGUUUGACUAUGAACCAUGAUUUUUGUAUGUAGAUGGUUGACUUAGUAUUUUGUACUCUUCCCAGCUAAAGUGAGCUGUUUUGAGAAAGUGACCACCUUCAAAGUGGCAACAAUCUUACUUAAGCAGAGCACUGCUUUGUCUUCUUUCUGCUGGAAAACAGUCAAUGCCACCUUAGUUUUCCAACAGAUUCAGCUGGCUGCCAGCUCAGAAUACCAAGGACUGAAGGACAUUUGACUCUUAUUUUUGUAUUUAAAUGACAUGAAUGUAAAGGGGAUGCUCAGGGUUGUUUUGGAGCCUGUUGAAUUUUUAUCUUUUUGCCUGUGAUUUUAUUUUCUAAAUAAAUACUUCAUGUAGCAAUCUUGAAUAUGUUGAGAAGGAAAAUGCCAAACCAUUUUGGUAAUGAGGUUACUAGUUAAGUUAUGUUACGAUAGGUGUUAAAGUACAAAAAACUUUUUAUUUGUUAAUUAAUCUUGAAGAAACACGUGCCUCAGUUUAGAUGUUUUGUCUUAUCUUUUCUGCACUAAAUACCUGACAGUUUGACCAAUCAAUGCACCUUUCCAGUGGCAAGACUUGCUUAUCGUAAAUUAUAUUGUCACAAUGCAAGAUUUAGUGACUGUAAAAUGGAAUAAAGUUUAAAGUUUCAGGGAAUGCAAAAGGUAUUAACUUAAGAGACAAAACCUUUAUUCAAUAUGCUUUGCUUCAUACUGUAAAUAGCUUUUUGGCUUGUGAACCUAAUUGUAAUCUUUCAGGUAUUUUUGUACAAAUAAGGGACUGAUAUUCUGUUUCUUGUAAUUAGAAAUAAACGUUAAUACAAUGCUAUUCAUUUUAUAUUGGAAUGAAUGUCAUCCUUUGGAUAUACCAGUACACUGUGUAUCUCUUGCCUUAAUACAGGUUAAUUGAGUAGGUCAUGUUAAACAGCUUUUAAGAAGUGUGAAGAGGAAAACACAAUCCCCAAGA